rnacentral:rRNA from 1 species
UACGUAGGGUGCGAGCGUUGCCCGGAUUUAUUGGGCGUAAAGGGCGCGCAGGCGGCUACGCACGUCCGUUGUGAAAUCGCUCGGCUCAACUGGGCGGGGUCAGCGGAUACGGCGUAGCUGGAGCAAGCUAGGGGGCAAUGGAAUUCCCGGUGUAGUGGUGGAAUGCGUAGAUAUCUGGAGGAACACCGGUGGCGAAGGCGGCAUCCUGGACCGACAUCGACGCUGAGGCGCGAAAGCUAGGGGAGCAAACGGG